rnacentral:lncRNA from 1 species
CGUGUGUGGAUGGCCACACCCAGAUGGCCACUGCAUUCUGCAGAAACUGCUGAGGAACUGCUGGCGUCACACCUACUAGAUGAAGAUUUCAAAGGAUCUCUUUUAAAUAUCUUCCAACAGACAAAGGAGCACAUGUCUGACACACCAAAGGAUGGUACCAGAACAGGAUGAUAUCCGACAGAAAAAUACGGAGAGCAUUGAAAACAACCAGAAAGGCUGAGGCUGAGCAGCUGAGACGAAGGCUGGCCUCAACAGGACUCGAGAGCACACCCGAGCUGGUGCCAGGGCACACGCGUGCCUGAAGAGCAGGAAGCAAGAGGGCGAAGGGGAGGGACCCGUCCCCAGAGACCACCACGGGGGCCACCAGGCAGGCCAGUGCAUGUAGAGUGGGGGCUUGAAGAGGAGGUGAGGAAGAGAGGGACAGACUGAAUGUUAAAGAAAUGGGGGCUGGGAACUUCCAAAAUCAGAUGGAGCAUCCACAUUGAUCCCCAGUCCCAGAAGCUCAACUGACUCCAGGCAGGAAACCCCAAAGAGAUGCACACCUAGAUACAUCACUGUCCCUGUUGUGGUCUGAUCUGGAAUGACCCCUACAGGUCAUGUGGUGAAGGCCUGGUCCCCUGUGCAGCACUGUCCAGGAGAGGGAGGCGAUGGAUCAUGAGAGCUCUGACCACUUUGGCAGAUUCAUCCACUAGUGGGUUCACAGGCCCUGAGGGUUCCCUGGGAACGUCGGGAGGGGGGCCUGGUUGCAGGACAUAGGUCAUGGGGCGUGCCUUGUGGGGUAUCCAUCCCUGGUCCUGCCUCAGGUUCUCUCCCUCUGCUUCCUGUGGCUACAAGUGAGCAGCUCUGCUCUACCUCAGCCCCCACACCAUGAUGUCAUGUCUCACACCAGUCCAGAAACAAAGGAGUCAGGUGACCGUGCAGCAAAGCCUCUGAAUCCAUGAGCCAAAAC